rnacentral:rRNA from 1 species
UACAGAGGUCUCAAGCGUUGUUCGGAUUCAUUGGGCGUAAAGGGUGCGUAGGCGGCGCGGUAAGUCGGGUGUGAAAUCUCGGAGCUUAACUCCGAAACUGCAUUCGAUACUGCCGUGCUUGAGGACUGGAGAGGAGACUGGAAUUUACGGUGUAGCAGUGAAAUGCGUAGAUAUUACCAGGAACACCAAUGGCGAAGGCAGCUUGCUGGGCUACUCCUGACACUGAGGUACGAAAGCGUGGGGAGCGAACAGG